GAUGAACGCUGGCGGCGUGCCUAAUACAUGCAAGUCGAGCGAACAGACGAGGAGCUUGCUCCUCUGACGUUAGCGGCGGACGGGUGAGUAACACGUGGAUAACCUACCUAUAAGACUGGGAUAACUUCGGGAAACCGGAGCUAAUACCGUAUAACAUGUUGAACCGCAUGGUUCAACAGUGAAAGACGGUCUUGCUGUCACUUAUAGAUGGAUCCGCGCCGCAUUAGCUAGUUGGUAAGGUAACGGCUUACCAAGGCAACGAUGCGUAGCCGACCUGAGAGGGUGAUCGGCCACACUGGAACUGAGACACGGUCCAGACUCCUACGGGAGGCAGCAGUAGGGAAUCUUCCGCAAUGGGCGAAAGCCUGACGGAGCAACGCCGCGUGAGUGAAGAAGGUCUUCGGAUCGUAAAACUCUGUUAUUAGGGAAGAACAAAUGUGUAAGUAACUAUGCACGUCUUGACGGUACCUAAUCAGGAAGCCACGGCUAACUACGUG
rnacentral:rRNA from 1 species